UUCAUUCGAUCUCCUCGCUUGACUGCUACGAUAAACGGCGAGAGUGACGCGGAUUGCGAGAAGGAAGGCGAACGAGUGUCUCCUCGCGUAUGGCGGCCGACGGUCGAACCAACACAUUCACAUCAAAAUUCACCGACACACCGCCGUUUCCAGCUGGCGUGAGCAGCGGCAUGGCAGCAUGGGACAGGCUGAGUAGGUUCCUCGAUCCUCAUUCCUCAGUAGUCGAGGCAAGUCGGUGCUCAGACGGUCGCGAAGUACGACGCUGCGCUCUCUCCGGUCGGCGAGAACUCUGCGGCAUCGAGUCAGUUAGUUAGUUAGUCAGUCAGUCAGUCAGUCAGUCAUUGAGUGAGUGAGUGAGUGAGUGAGUGAGUGAGUCAGUCGCUAACUUCACUCGAGUCGUAUACACUCAGUCCGCGAGAAGCCAUCGUGCGAUAAGCAGCAACACCGUCCGACGGAAGCUCGACGCAGAGGUUUACGCGCGAAGUUUCGCCCUCUUGUUAUAAAAAGUUUUUUUCGUUUCUUCCCUGUGAUAUACUUAUAAAUAAAAACCUGCGCGCAGUGCGUGUGGCUCGCUAUACCUACGAGCAUAGAGUAUAUAAAACAUACGAAGGAGACGACGACGACGAUUACUAAGAAGUUGUACAACGAGAACUGUGUAAAUAAAGAAAGAAGGAGGAAAAAUUUAAUACAGAAUUACAAGUGAUGAUAGAAAAAAAAAUAAGGCAAAACAAGAAGAUAAGAAACAUUCGUUCACACCCGCGUUGUAAAACGAGUUAAAAUAAAACAAAACAAGG